rnacentral:rRNA from 1 species
UACGUAGGGGGCAAGCGUUGUCCGGAAUUAUUGGGCGUAAAGGGCGCGCAGGCGGCUACGCACGUCCGUUGUGAAAUCGCUCGGCUCAACUGGGCGGGGUCAGCGGAUACGGCGUAGCUGGAGCAAGCUAGGGGGCAAUGGAAUUCCCGGUGUAGUGGUGGAAUGCGUAGAUAUCGGGAGGAACACCAGUGGCGAAGGCGGUUGCCUGGAGCUUUGCUGACGCUGAGGCGCGAAAGCGUGGGGAGCGAUCCGG